CCGGGUGUGGCUCAGCUUGGUAGAGCACUUGAAUGGGGUUCAAGGGGUCGCUGGUUCAAAUCCAGUCGCUCGGACCA
rnacentral:tRNA from 1 species